UACGGAGGAUGCGAGCGUUAUCCGGAUUUAUUGGGUUUAAAGGGUGCGUAGGUGGAUUGGUAAGUCAGUGGUGAAAGUUUGCAGCUUAACUGUAAAAUUGCCAUUGAAACUGUUGGUCUUGAGUGCAAAUGAGGUAGGCGGAAUGUGUAGUGUAGCGGUGAAAUGCAUAGAUAUUACACAGAACACCGAUUGCGAAGGCAGCUUACUAAUCCAUCAUUGACGCUGAGGCACGAAAGCGUGGGGAUCAAACAGGAUUAGA
rnacentral:rRNA from 1 species